rnacentral:rRNA from 1 species
AGCUCCAAUAGCGUAUAUUAAAGUUGCUGCAGUUAAAAAGCUCGUAGUUGGAUUUGUGGCGCGGUCGUCCGGCGGGGCUUCCGGUUUCAUAGUAUCCCGGGGCCGUUUGUCUGGGUUCUUGGCCGCCCCAUUCUUCGGUCGCGUGUCGCUGGCAUUAGGUUGUCGGCUUCUUCGCGCCGAUCGUUUACUGUGAAAAAAUUAGAGUGUUCAAAGCAGGCUUAGGCCGUUGGAUACAUUAGCAUGGAAUAAUGAGAUAGGGCCACGGCGGUCUAUUUUGUUGGUUUGCACGUUGUGGUAAUGAUUAACAGGAACGGUUGGGGGUAUUCGUAUUCAAUUGUCAGAGGUGAAAUUCUUGGAUUUAUGGAAGACGAACUACUGCGAAAGCAUUUACCAAGGAUGU